ensembl:lncRNA
UGUCUGGUAGAGGAGGAGGAGGAAGGCCAGCAAUGUCUGUUAGAGGAGGAGGAGGAGGUGGGCCAGUGAUGUCUGGUAGAGGAGGAGGAGGGUCAGCAAUGUCUGUUAGAGGAGGAGGAGGAGGAAGAGGAGGCCCAGCAAUGUCUGGUGGAGGAGGAGGCGGAAGAGGGCCAGCAAUGGCUGGUAGAGGAAGAGGAGGAGGAGGAGAGGCAGCGAUGUGUGGUAGACUAGGAAGAGGAGGAGGAAGGCCAGCAAUGUCUGGUAGAGGAGGAGGAGGAGGAGGGCCAGCGAUGUCUGGUAGAGGAGGAGGAGAAGGAGGAGGAGGAGAGGCACUAAUGUCUGGUAGAGGAGGAAGUGGAGGAGGGGGAGGGCCAGCAAUGUCUGAUAGAGGAGGAGGAGGAGGAGGAAGAGGAGGCCCAGCAAUGUCUGGUGGAGGAGGAGGAGGAAGGCCAGCAAUGUCUGGUAGAGGAGGAGGAGAAGGAGGAGGAGGAGAGGCAGUAAUGUCUGGUAGAGGAGGAAGUGGAGGAGGGGGAGGGCCAGCAAUGUCCGGUAGAGCAGGAGGAGGAGAAAGGCCAGCAAUGUCUGGUAGAGGAGGAGGAGGAGGAGGAGGAGGAGGAGGAGGAGGAGGAGGAGGAGGAGGAGGUGGCGGAAUGGUAGUACACACCUGCAGUCGCAGCCAGCUUUGAUGGCAAAGGAGCAGAGAAGACAGCUGGCAUGAGACAGGUGAUGCUCUUCUGAAGCUCCAGUGUGCCUCAGGAUCACUUAAGUCAGCACAAGAUUUGUGGUCGUCAUGUAUACAAGGCUCACAGGUAGCACCUAGGAGGAAGUGGCUAUUCUCUUAGGACAGCUUUGCCCUCUUAAACUCCAUAGGAGCAGGUCCUGAGCUGCUGGAGGAUGAUUUGGUGGCUCAUUUAGCAGCUGUGUGUGCAGAAGCCUAGAGAGAGGAUGAGGUGACCCUAAAGGCCAGCUUCCCCCUAACUCUGGCCUCAUGAGAGGCAAGGAGGCCAGAGUUAGAGGCCAGCUUGCAGGUGUGGUUUGAGGCAACCUUGCUUGUCAUGACCCCAGAUCCCCCAUCGUGCACUGUGGUGCUUGGGGCUUCCUCUUCCCAUUAAAGAGCUGCUCAGUGCCUCAAAGGGAGUUAUAACAUGGGGGCAUCUGUUUCCUCCCACAGCCCUCUGGUGUAGCUGAAGCUGCCAACAUCGCUGAGCCUGAGCUUUGGUCAGGCACCUUUGAGAAGUGCUGUCUGUUGUGGUGUAUUUGAGUCAUAGCCCUGGGUAUGGGGGUAUGUGGCUGUGGCAGAGGCAGAGGCAAUGGCAGUUCCAGGAGGGAAAAGAGCCUGGGUGACAUUAGAGACCACCUGGGAGCUGUCAUGGUUCCCUGGGCUCAUAAUUGUGAAUAAGGAAUCCCCAAGGACUGGGUGUGUUGUGCUGCUUGAGGCUGGAGUAGAGGCUGGGGCCAGUCCUGGAGAUGUAGCUCCCAGGGCUUUGAAAUGGAGGCCACUAGGAUAAGUGGCUGCUCCAUGCUGCUGCCUAUGCCUAUCAAUGGCCCCCAGUAUGGGCAGCUUGCUAGAGGCAGAGUUAAUGUGAUGUUUCCCUUGUGUGGCCUGGUUUAAUGGUUCCCUUGUAUGGCUGGGGUUCGGUGUGGGCAGGGUGGAGGCUGUGGCUGCGCUGCCACUGGGCAAGUCACAAUAGCCUGUGCAGAGGGGAAGGAGUUCCCACUGGAGCCAGUGGGAGGCCCCAGGAGGAGAGGAUCAGGGUGCGGGUGUGGUAUCCAUAGGGGUGACCCCGUCAUCAGGCCCUGAUGUGUCCAUAGGGGUGACCCCGUCAUCAGGGCCCGAUGUGUCCAUAGGGG